rnacentral:rRNA from 1 species
AGAAAUCUCACCCGGCCCGGACACCGCGAGGAUUGACAGACUGAGAGCUCUUUCUCGAUUCGGUGGGUGGUGGUGCAUGGCCGUUCUUAGUUGGUGGAGCGAUCUGUCUGGUUAAUUCCGAUAACGAACGAGACCCCAACCUGCUAACUAGCCCUCGGGUCCUGCUUCUGUUGGGCCCGACGGAAUGAUUCGCUUCUUAGAGGGACUCGCGGCGCCUAGCCGCACGAAGGGGGGCGAUAA